GCCGGGUAUGGUGGCGCAUGCCUGUAAUCCCAGCUACUCUGGAGGCUGAGGCAGGAGACUCCCUUGAACCCAGGAUGUGGAGGUUGCAGUAAGCCAAAAUCGUGCCACUGCACUCCAGCCUGGGUGACAGAGUAAGACUCUGCCUCAG
rnacentral:SRP_RNA from 2 species